CGACGUGUAACAGAAUCGAGUGCCCAAACUACGAGGUGGUUCAUGCGGGAAACGGGUACGAGAUUCGCCGGUACGAUACAACGGUCUGGAUUUCCACUGAACCUAUUCAAGACAUAUCUCUCAAGGAUGCUACAAGAACAGCUUUCUUCCAGUAAGUACACAAACUCAUGUCUUGUCUUUUUUUAAAAAAAAUUUUUUGUCAAAAUGAUUUUGUUUUUUUUAAAUCCGGAUAAAAGAUUGAAUUUUUCAAUGUGUGGACAGGUUGUUUGCGUACAUUCAAGGGAAGAACGAGUAUCAUCAGAAGAUUGAGAUGACAGCUCCUGUGAUCAGUCAAGUCUCACCAAGCGACGGUCCUCUCUGUGAAUCUUCCUUCACUGUCUCCUUCUACGUCCCCAAAAAGAACCAGCCUGAUCCAGCUCCAGC
rnacentral:lncRNA from 1 species